rnacentral:rRNA from 1 species
GACGAACGCUGGCGGCGUGCCUAAUACAUGCAAGUAGAACGCUGAAGCUUGGUGCUUGCACCGAGCGGAUGAGUUGCGAACGGGUGAGUAACGCGUAGGUAACCUGCCUGGUAGCGGGGGAUAACUAUUGGAAACGAUAGCUAAUACCGCAUAAAAUGGAUUAUCGCAUGAUAAUCCAUUGAAAGGUGCAAAUGCAUCACUACCAGAUGGACCUGCGUUGUAUUAGCUAGUUGGUGGGGUAACGGCUCACCAAGGCGACGAUACAUAGCCGACCUGAGAGGGUGAUCGGCCACACUGGGACUGAGACACGGCCCAGACUCCUACGGGAGGCAGCAGUAGGGAAUCUUCGGCAAUGGACGGAAGUCUGACCGAGCAACGCCGCGUGAGUGAAGAAGGUUUUCGGAUCGUGAAGCUCUGUUGUAAGAGAAGAACGAGUGUGAGAGUGGAAAGUUCACACUGUGACGGUAUCUUACCAGAAAGGACGGGG